rnacentral:rRNA from 1 species
CCUACGGGUGGCAGCAGUGAGGAAUAUUGGUCAAUGGGCGAGAGCCUGAACCAGCCAAGUCGCGUGAGGGAGUACUGCCCUAUGGGUUGUAAACCUCUUUUGUCGGGGAGCAAAAGCCGGACGUGUCCGGCUGUGAGAGUACCCGAAGAAAAAGCAUCGGCUAACUCCGUGCCAGCAGCCGCGGUAAUACGGAGGAUGCGAGCGUUAUCCGGAUUUAUUGGGUUUAAAGGGUGCGCAGGCGGAUUUUUAAGUCAGCGGUAAAAUCGUGGGGCUCAGCCCCAUCCAGCCGUUGAAACUGGGGAUCUAGAGUGUGCGAGAGGUAUGCGGAAUGCGUGGUGUAGCGGUGAAAUGCAUAGAUAUCACGCAGAACCCCGAUUGCGAAGGCAGCAUACCGGUGCACAACUGACGCUCAGGCACGAAAGCGUGGGUAUCGAACAGGAUUAGAUACCCUUGUAGUC